AACGAACGCUGGCGGCAUGCCUAACACAUGCAAGUCGGACGAGACCUUCGGGUCUAGUGGCGCACGGGUGCGUAACGCGUGGGAACCUGCCCUUAGGUUCGGAAUAACUCCCCGAAAGGGGUGCUAAUACCGGAUAAUGUCUUCGGACCAAAGAUUUAUCGCCUUUGGAUGGGCCCGCGUUGGAUUAGCUAGUUGGUAGGGUAAAAGCCUACCAAGGCGACGAUCCAUAGCUGGUCUGAGAGGAUGAUCAGCCACACUGGGACUGAGACACGGCCCAGACUCCUACGGGAGGCAGCAGUGGGGAAUAUUGGACAAUGGGCGAAAGCCUGAUCCAGCAAUGCCGCGUGAGUGAUGAAGGCCUUAGGGUUGUAAAGCUCUUUUACCCGGGAUGAUAAUGACGGUACCGGGAGAAUAAGCUCCGGCUAACUCCGUG
rnacentral:rRNA from 1 species